rnacentral:rRNA from 1 species
UACGGGGGGAGCAAGCGUUGUUCGGAUUUACUGGGCGUAAAGGGCGCGUAGGCGGUCAGCACAAGUCAGUUGUGAAAUCUCCGGGCUUAACUCGGAAAGGUCAACUGAUACUGUGCGACUAGAGUGCAGAAGGGGCAACUGGAAUUCUCGGUGUAGCGGUGAAAUGCGUAGAUAUCUGGAGGAACAUCGGUGGCGAAGGCGGCAUCCUGGACCGGUAUUGACGC